rnacentral:rRNA from 1 species
AUUAGAGUUUGAUCCUGGCUCAGAACGAACGUUAGCGGUGUGGAUUAGGCAUGCAAGUCGCGCGAGAAAGCCUUCGGGUGAGUAUAGCGGCGAACGGGUGAGUAACACGUAACCAACGUGCCCCUUAGAUCGGGAUAGCUACUGGAAACGGUGGGUAAUACCGAAUGGUCCCCUGGAUGGCAUCAUCCGGCGGGUAAACGGCGGCUUCGGCUGUUGCUAGGGGAGCGGGUUGCGGCCUAUCAGCUUGUUGGUGGGGUAAUGGCCUACCAAGGCAACGACGGGUAGCGGGUCUGAGAGGAUGAUCCGUCACACUGGGACUGAGACACUGCCCAGACUCCUACGGGAGGCUGCAGUCGAGAAUCUUCCGCAAUGGGCGAAAGCCUGACGGAGCGACACCGCGUGUAGGAUGAAGGCUCUCGGGUUGUAAACUACUGUCACGCCAUAGGAAUCGUUUGUCGUUAAUAGCGGCAAGCUUGACCACAGCGAGAGGAAGAGCCGGCUAACUCCGUGCCAGCAGCCGCGGUAAGACGGAGGGCUCUAACGUUGUUCGGAAUCACUGGGCAUAAAGCGCACGUAGGCGGCCCGUUAAGUCAGUUGUGAAAGCCCUCGGCUCAACCGAGGAACUGCAACUGAAACUGGCGGGCUAGAGGAAGACAGGGGUGAGUGGAACUCCAGGUGGAACGGUGAAAUGUGUAGAUAUCUGGAGGAACACCGGUGGCGAAAGCGGCUCACUGGGUCUUCUCUGACGCUGAGGUGCGAAAGCUAGGGUAGCAAACGGGAUUAGAUACCCCGGUAGUCCUAGCCGUAAACGAUGGGCACUAGGUAGUCUUUCUUAUCAAGCUCACUGCCGUAGCAAAUGUGUUAAGUGCCCCGCCUGGGGUGUACGCUCGCAAGGGUAAAACUCAAAGGAAUUGACGGGGGAUCACACAAGCGGUGGAGCAUGUGGUUUAAUUCGAAUCAACGCGAAGAACCUUAUCCUGGGCUUGACAUGCUUGGAUGCCCAUCUGGAAACAGAGUAGGCUGCCCUUCGGGGUGAAACUUGCACAGGUGCUGCAUGGCUGUCGUCAGCUCGUGUCGUGAGAUGUUGGGUUAAGUCCCGUAACGAGCGAAACCCUUAUCGUUAGUUGCCAGCGCGUAAUGGCGGGGACUCUAGCGAGACUGCCGGUGUUAAACCGGAGGAAGGUGGGGAUGACGUCAAGUCCUCAUGGCCUUUAUGCCCAGGGCUGCAAACGUGCUACAAUGGCAGAUACAAACCGACGCGAGACCGCGAGGUGGAGCAAAUCGGAAAAAGCCAGCCCCAGUUCGGAUUGGAGUCUGCAACUCGACUCCAUGAAGUUGGAAUCGCUAGUAAUCGUAGAUCAGCUACGCUACGGUGAAUGUGUUCCUGAGCCUUGUACACACUGCCCGU